AUUGAACGCUGGCGGUAUGCUUUACACAUGCAAGUCGGACGGCUGCGCGGGGCAACCUGGCGGCGAGUGGCGAACGGGUGAGUAACAUAUCGGAACAUGUCCGGAAAUGGGGGAUAACGUAGCGAAAGUUACGCUAAUACCGCAUAUGCCCCGAGGGGGAAAGGUGGGGAGCGCAAGACCUACCGUUUUCGGAGUGGCCGAUAUCGGAUUAGCUAGUAGGCGGGGUAAAGGCCCACCUAGGCGACGAUCCGUAGCUGGUCUGAGAGGACGACCAGCCACACUGGGACUGAGACACGGCCCAGACUCCUACGGGAGGCAGCAGUGGGGAAUUUUGGACAAUGGGCGCAAGCCUGAUCCAGCCAUACCGCGUGAGUGAAGAAGGCCUUCGGGUUGUAAAGCUCUUUCGGCAGGAAAGAAAUCGCCGCCUCUAACAUAGGCGGCGGAUGACGGUACCUGAAGAAGAAGCACCGGCUAACUACGUGCCAGCCGCCGCGGUAAGAC
rnacentral:rRNA from 1 species